UAGGGAAUCUUCCGCAAUUGGCGAAAUCCUGACGGAGCAACGCCGCUUGAGUGAUGAAGUUCUUCGGAUCGUAAAACUCUGCUAUUUGGGCAGAACAAAUGUGUAAGUAACUAUGCACGUCUUGACGGUUCCUAAUCAGAAAGCCACGGCUAACUACUUGCCAGCAGCCGCGGUAAUACGUAGGUGGCAAGCGUUAUCCGGAAUUAUUGGGGGUAAAGCUCGAGUAGGCGGUUUUUUAAGUCUGAUGUGAAAGCCCACGGCUCAACCGUGGAGGGUCAUUGGAAACUGGAAAACUUGAGUGCAGAAGAGGAAAGUGGAAUUCCAUGUGUAGCGGUGAAAUGCGCAGAGAUAUGGAGGAAAACCAGUGGCGAAGGCGACUUUCUGGUCUGUAACUGACGCUGAUGUGCGAAAGCGUGGGGAUCAAACAGG
rnacentral:rRNA from 1 species